UGCAAGUCGAACGAAUCCUUACCUUCGGGUAAGAGAAUUAGUGGCAAACGGGUGAGUAAUACAGAGGAAUCUACCUAGCAGUAAGGAAUAACUCUGGGAAACCAGAGCUAAUGCCAUAUAUUACCCUCCGGGGGGAAAGAUUUUAUCGCUGUUAGAUGAGCCUCUGCCGGAUUAGCUAGUUGGUAGGGUAAUGGCCUACCAAGGCAAUGAUCCGUAGCUGGUCUGAGAGGAUGAUCAGCCACACUGGAACUGAGACACGGUCCAGACUCC
rnacentral:rRNA from 1 species